GAUGAACGCUGGCGGCGUGCCUAAUACAUGCAAGUCGAGCGAACAGACGAGGAGCUUGCUCCUCUGACGUUAGCGGCGGACGGGUGAGUAACACGUGGAUAACCUACCUAUAAGACUGGGAUAACUUCGGGAAACCGGAGCUAAUACCGGAUAAUAUAUUGAACCGCAUGGUUCAAUAGUGAAAGACGGUUUUGCUGUCACUUAUAGAUGGAUCCGCGCCGCAUUAGCUAGUUGGUAAGGUAACGGCUUACGAAGGCAACGAUGCGUAGCCGACCUGAGAGGGUGAUCGGCCAUACUGGAACUGAGACACGGUCCAGACUCCUACGGGAGGCAGCAGUAGGGAAUCUUCCGCAAUGGGCGAAAGCUUGACGGAGCAACGCCGCGUGAGUGAUGAAGGUCUUCGGAUCGUAAAACUCUGUUAUUAGGGAAGAACAAAUGUGUAAGUAACUAUGCACGUCUUGACGGUACCUAAUCAGAAAGCCACGGCUAACUACGUG
rnacentral:rRNA from 1 species